UGGGGCAUGGUGCAAUCGGCAGCACGACUGACUCUGGAUCAGUUGAUUGAGGUUCAAAUCCUUGUGCCCCAG
rnacentral:tRNA from 1 species